UAGGGAAUCUUCGGCAAUGGGGGGAACCCUGACCGAGCAACGCCGCGUGAGUGAAGAAGGUUUUCGGAUCGUAAAGCUCUGUUGUUAAGGAAGAACGAGUGUGAGAAUGGAAAGUUCAUGCUGUGACGGUACUUAACCAGAAAGGGACGGCUAACUACGUGCCAGCAGCCGCGGUAAUACGUAGGUCCCGAGCGUUGUCCGGAUUUAUUGGGCGUAAAGCGAGCGCAGGCGGUCAAUUAAGUCUGAUGUGAAAGCCCCCGGCUCAACCGGGGAGGGUCAUUGGAAACUGGUUGACUUGAGUGCAGAAGAGGAGAGUGGAAUUCCAUGUGUAGCGGUGAAAUGCGUAGAUAUAUGGGGGAACACCAGUGGCGAAGGCGACUCUCUGGUCUGUAACUGACGCUGAGGCUCGAAAGCGUGGGUAGCAAACAGG
rnacentral:rRNA from 1 species